GCAAGUCGAGCGGUAACACUUCGGGUGACGAGGGCGAACGGCUGAGUACGCGUUGGUACCUGCCCCGAACUCAGGGAUAAGCACUGGAAACGGCGUCUAAUACCGGAUGUCCCAGUAAUGGGAAAGAUUUAUCGGUUCGGGAGGGGCCUGCGUUGUAUCAGGUAGUUGGUGAGGUAAUGGCUCACCAAGCCUAUGACGCAUAGCUGGUGUGAGAGCAUGACC
rnacentral:rRNA from 1 species